rnacentral:rRNA from 1 species
UACGAAGGGGGCUAGCGUUGCUCGGAAUCACUGGGCGUAAAGCGUGCGCAGGCGGUUUUGUAAGCCAGAUGUGAAAUCCCCGGGCUUAACCUGGGAAUGGCAUUUGGGACUGCAAGGCUUGAGUUUGGCAGAGGAGACUGGAAUUCCUGGUGUAGCAGUGAAAUGCGUAGAUAUCAGGAGGAAUACCGAUGGCGAAGGCAGGUCUCUGGGCUAGAACUGACGCUCAUGCACGAAAGCGUGGGGAGCAAACAGG